GUCCAUCUGACAAAUCUCAAAUAGGAUGAAACGCUCGUUCUGGAU
rfam:Schistosoma mattheei strain Denwood, Zambia genome assembly, scaffold: SMTD_scaffold0001921